AUGAAUUAAAUGAUGAGGUUGUCGCUGGCCCUGCAUGGGCAUGUGCACAUCUUAUCAAUUCAUCCACACACUUUUGUGCACUUUUCAUAGAUUGGCUUGUUUAAUAGGAGCUGCCUCUGGGUGGCUUGAGCCUCUCUGUGUAUUUUAUUACAAACAUCUCAGUCUUAGAAUGUAAAUUAUGCAAUUAAUGCAAUGAAAUA
rnacentral:misc_RNA from 1 species